rfam:Myotis davidii contig55005, whole genome shotgun sequence.
UUUUUAGCAUAAGUAUGUCCCAUGGAAUAUUUAGGAUGUACUUAUACUAUAG